GUACCUUCAAGCUUUGCUUGGUGUUGGGCGUUUUUUGUCUCCCUCUUGCUGGGAGACUCGCCUUAAAACGAUUGGCAGCCGGCCUACUGGUUUCGGAGCGCAGCACAUAUUUUGCACUCUGUGUCAGGAGAAAAGGACGGUAAUCCAUCAAGACUCUACAAAUUUUAAC
rnacentral:misc_RNA from 1 species